rnacentral:snoRNA from 1 species
AUUCUGUGAUGAGGGCACUUUCGUAAUAACUCUUUUUACCUUUCCCAUGCCUCACACAAGUACUCGUCAUCCAUUUGUUGGAAAGCAGUGAUCUCGUUCCUCAACUU